UUAUAGGGUUUAGGGCCCCCCAAACCCACUUAUGGGGCCCAUUGGAACCCAUUAGGACCCACUUAUGGGGUUUAGGGCCCCCAAACCCACUUAUGGGGCCCAUUAGGACCCAUUGGGACCCAUUAGGAUCCACUUAUGGGGUUUAGGGCCCCCUUAUGGGGUCUAGGACCCCCCAAACCCACUUAUGGGGCCCAUUGGAACCCAUUAGGACCCACUUAUGGGGUUUAGGACCCCCCAAACCCACUUAUGGGGCCCAUUGGGCCCUAUUAGGACCCCAACCCCCCUUAUAGGGUUUUAGGACCCACUUAUGGGGUCUAGGACCCCCUUAUAGGGUCUAGGACCCACUUAUAGGGUCUAGGACCCCCCUUAUAGGGUCUAGGACCCACUUAUGGGGUUUUAGGACCCACUUAUGGGGGUUUAGGACCCCCUUUAUAGGGUUUAGGACCCCCUUAUAGGGUCUAGGACCCACUUAUGGGGUCUAGGACCCACUUAUGGGGUUUUAGGCCCCACUUAUGGGGUUUAGGACCCACUUAUGGGGUCUAGGACCCACUUAUGGGGUUAAGGACCCCCCAACCCCCCUUAUGGGGUCUAGGACCCCCUUAUAGGGUUUAGGACCCACUUAUAGGGUCUAGGACCCACUUAUGGGGUUUAGGACCCCCCAACCCCCCUUAUAGGGUUUUAGGACCCCCUUUAUAGGGUCUAGGACCCCCCUUAUAGGGUCUAGGACCCACUUAUGGGGUCUAGGACCCCCCUUUAUAGGGUCUAGGACCCACUUAUAGGGUUUUAGGGCCCCUUAUGGGGUUUUAGGACCCACUUGUUGCUGUGAUGUUUGAGGUGUUUCUUGUAGGUCUCGUCCUGGAACAAGGUUUCGGGCUCGUACUUGUGGCUCCAUUCGUUCCUAUGGGGCUCUAUGGGGCCGGGCGGCUUCGCCUUCUUCCCUUUGCGACCCCGAGAAAUGGGGACGGAAAGGCCUGAAAUGGGCAAAAAGGAAAAGAAAACUUAUUAUUAUGGGGACUUAUGGGGCUGGGGACCCACUUAUGGGGCUGGGGACCCACUUAUGGGGCUGGGGACCCACUUAUGGGGCUGGGGACCCACUUAUGGGGCUGGGGACCCCAUUGAUCCCUAUGGGGACUCACUUAUGGGGCUGGGGACCCACUUAUGGGGCUGGGGAGCCACUUAUGGUCCACUUAUGUGGGCUGGGGUCCCCAUUGGCCCUAUGGGGUCCUCACUUAUGGGGGCUGGGGACAACACA
rnacentral:lncRNA from 1 species